ensembl:lncRNA
UUUCCUCUACACAGUUCAUUAACCAGCUUAUCAUUGUCCCUCCUAGUUUCUUUUUUAAGUUUCCUAUUGUUUAAGUAGUUGCAUAAAAUUUGGCUUCAGUCCCAGAAAGUAAAAGGACACAACGGGACUAUUUAUAUGGAGCACUAAAGCUCUGUGAAAGCUUUAUGUAUGACUUCAUAGCUUUGAAAAAUUAUCCUUUAAAAGUCAUGGCUUUGUUUUGGUGUUUAUCAGUUGCGCACAUUUUGCUCUCUUGGUGGGAUCAUCAAUUUAUGAAGAGACCAAACACAUUUGGGUCAAUGCUAUAACCUCUGUGCAUGGCCCAUUAUCUUUUUGCCAGCAGGUGUAAAACCUUUCAUUUUCUCAAUUAAAGUACCAACUUUGCAUAAUAUCAGUACAACAGUGAUUACUGGACAAUGUAUGAAUUUAUAACAUUGACCAACUGCUCCUUAGCAAAUAUUGACACAAGACUGACAAAAGACAGAAGGCCAUAAGAAGGAGAAAACAGAAGAGUCACUAAUUUACUUGCAGCAUCUUUUUACAGAGCAAACAUUUCAACUCUCUGACUUCAAGAUUUUGUUAUAUUCUAUAUACUGCUCAAAUCCUUCUUUUAAUCCAUCAUAGCAUCAGCCCUCCAUUUAGAAGUGCUCUUCAUAAAAUCACAGCAGAUUUGGACUUCCAAAUAUAUUUCAAGUUUUGACACUUCAAUGCGGAAAACCUUUACCCUUGUCAACGGAUAUCCUCUUAUUAUCAGAAAUAAAAUACAAGCCUCAGAAAAUCAUUACUUGGUACAAUAGCACAAUGCUACUUAAACCUUCAAAAUCUAAAUCAUUCUUUUUUGAUCUGCGCUAUAUUUAUUUCGCUACAAUUAACAAAACAUUAGCCCCAUGGUAACCACAGAGUGACAAAAUACAUCUUUCUUUCAUGCAGUUUAUAUGACUAAACCUACUUUCUCCAAUCCCUGCAAAUCCUGCCAUAGUUCAGGUCCAUUUUGGCUGUACCAGGAACAUUCAAGCAGCAUGCUAAGUAUGAGCCACUGUUCACCACCCAGAACUCUGCGGCCCAAAACUAGUCUGCAGACACAGCAGAACCUGACACAUCCCAAAGGGCGAAGCAAAGAGCUAGGUAUUGCCCAGGACAUCAGACUUUUGCAGAGUAGCUAUCAGGAACAGAAACAGCAAAGCUGAAAAGGACAUUUAACUCUUUUUCGUAAGUGUUCCCCACAUCAUCCCCUCUCUUUUUGAAGACGGGGUGAGCCCUGUAACCUGUUUCCCAGGAAACACAUGAAAACUCAGGAGUGUUCUUCAGAAAAGUACAGUUUGGCAUAAGGAACAGUUGUCAGCCAAGAGGGGCCUCCCAUGCAUCAUCACAAGGCACCAUUUGUCACUUUAACUAAGCUUUCACUGUAUUAUUGCUUGUUUCACCUCUUUUUGAGUGGAGUAUAAAAACAGGGGGUUGAAUGUAAAGGAUGAGAAUCUACAGUCUUCCAAGUAAUGCCCCAUGGCACACUGCAGAGCACAACUGCCAAUCAGUUAAGUCUAAUGCACAAUUGGAAGAGGGGGGACACAUACAACACUACAACAAAAAGCAGCCAACCACACACACACACAACACAAAGCCAAAAAACCCCACCACUUUUAAAGUUCUUGAGCAGUGCAGUAGCUCGCGUUUAAGGUUAAGCAAACUGCCCUAUAUGUAAAGAAAAAUAAAUGAAAAGCACACCACACGAACAAACCAGGGGAUGUGCACAGAGGAGAAAAGUGAGGAUCCCAGAGAGAUUCUGAAAAAACAAUUCUGUGCAGACUCUAAUCGUUCUGUUCCUGUUACACAGGAGCUGAAUUUAAGAGUAAACCAC